rnacentral:rRNA from 1 species
UUUUGACUGUGCAAAGGUAGCAUAAUCAUUAGUUUUUUAAUUGAAAGCUGGAAUGAAAGGUUUGAUGAGAAAAUAACUGUCUCUGUGUAAAUGUUUUAGAACUUCAAUUUUAAGUGAAAAAGCUUAAAUUUUUUAUAAAGACGAGAAGACCCUAUAGAGUUUUAUAUUUGAUUGGAUAUAAAAGUUGUUGAAUUGAUUCUUUUAUUUUUAAUUAAGUAUUUUGUUGGGGCGAUGGAAAAAUUUGAUUAACUUUUUUUUGUUUUUAACAUUGAUUUAUGAUUACUUGAUCCUUUUUUUUGGAUUACAAGACUAAAUUACCUUAGGGAUAACAGCGUAAUUUUUUUUGGAGAGUUCUUAUCGAUAAAAAAGUUUGCGACCUCGAUGUUGGAUUAAAAUUAAAUUUCGGUGCAGAAGCGGAAAUUUUGGGUCUGUUCGACCUUAGAAAUUUU